UUGGAGGGCAAGUCUGGUGCCAGCAGCCGCGGUAAUUCCAGCUCCAAUAGCGUAUAUUAAAGUUGUUGCAGUUAAAAAGCUCGUAGUUGAAUUUCGGAAUUCUCUUAUCGGUUAAAUCAACAGGUUCGUACUGAUUUUAAGAAUUUCUACCUUCUGGAGAACCUUAAUGUCAUUUAUUUGAUGUUUUGGGAAACCAGGACUGUUACCUUGAAAAAAUUAGAGUGUUUAAAGCAGGCUUAUGUCUGAAUACAUUAGCAUGGAAUAAUGAAAUAGGACGGAAUGGUUCUAUUUUGUUGGUUUCUAGGAUCACCGUAAUGAUUAAUAGGGAUAGUUGGGGGCAUUAGUAUUCAAUUGUCAGAGGUGAAAUUCUUGGAUUUAUUGAAGACUAACUUCUGCGAAAGCAUUUGCCAAGGAUGUUUUCAUUAAUCAAGAACGAAAGUUAGGGGAUCGAAGACGAUCAGAUACCGUCGUAGUCUUAACCAUAAACUAUGCCGACUAGGAAUCGGACGAAGUUAAUUUUUUAAUGACUCGUUCGGCGCCUUACGGGAAAC
rnacentral:rRNA from 1 species